UACGGGGGGGGCAAGCGUUGUUCGGAAUUACUGGGCGUAAAGGGCUCGUAGGCGGCCAACUAAGUCGGACGUGAAAUCCCCAGGCUCAACCUGGGAAUGGCGAUGGAUACUGGCUCGCUAGAGUGCGGUAGAGGAGAGUGGAAUUCCCGGUGUAGCAGUGAAAUGCGUAGAGAUCGGGAGGAACAUCAGUUGCGAAGGCGGCUCUCUGGACCAGCACUGACACUGAGGCACGAAAGCGUGGGGAGCAAACAGG
rnacentral:rRNA from 1 species